rnacentral:rRNA from 1 species
UGGCAUGAGUAGCGCAAGAAGGGUGAGAAACCCUUCCGCCGGAUGACCAAGGGUUCCAGGGCCAGGCUAAUCCGCCCUGGGUGAGUCGGGACCUAAGGCGAGGCCGAGAGGCGUAGUCGAUGGACAACGGGUUGAUAUUCCCGUACCCGCGAAAGAGCGUCCCUGAUGAACCUUACUGUGCUAACCACCCAAACCACCUAAGACCUUCGGGUUGAGGGUGGGGAGCGUGGGAACCUGGUGGGUAGUAGUCAAGCGAUGGGGUGACGCAGGAAGGUAGCUGAUCCCGGCCGGUGGUUGUGCCGGGGUAAGCGUGUAGGCCGCACCAUAGGCAAAUCCGUGGUGCAUGAAGGCUGAGACGUGAUGCCGAGCCGAUUCAGGUGAAGUCAGUGAUCCUAUGCUGCCGAGAAAAGCCUCUAGCGAGUUCUUAGCGGCCCGUACCCCAAACCGACACAGGUGGUCAGGUAGAGAAUACCAAGGCGACGGGCGAACUGUGGUUAAGGAACUCGGCAAAUUACCCCCGUAACUUCGGGAGAAGGGGGGCCGGACACGUGAAGCAACACGCUUGUGGAGCGUGGUAUGGCCGCAGAGACCAGGGGGAAGCGACUGUUUACUAAAAACACAGGUCCAUGCGAAGAAGUAAUUCGAUGUAUAUGGACUGACGCCUGCCCGGUGCUGGAACGUUAAGGGGACCUGUUAGCUCUUCGGGGCGAAGCGGAGAACUUAAGCGCCAGUAAACGGCGGUGGUAACUAUAACCAUCCUAAGGUAGCGAAAUUCCUUGUCGGGUAAGUUCCGACCUGCACGAAUGGCGUAACGACUUCCCUACUGUCUCAACCACAGGCCCGGCGAAAUUGCAGUACGAGUAAAGAUGCUCGUUACGCGCGGCAGGACGGAAAGACCCCGGGACCUUUACUAUAGCUUGACAUUGGUAUCUGAGUUAAUUUGUGUAGGAUAGGUGGGAGCCUGUGAAGCUCGUACGCCAGUACGGGUGGAGGCAAUCUUGAAAUACCACUCUGGUUGAUUCGGGUAUCUAACUUCGGACCGUGAUCCGGUUCAGGGACAGUGUCUGGUGGGUAGUUUAACUGGGGCGGUUGCCUCCUAAAGAGUAACGGAGGCGCCCAAAGGUUCCCUCAGCCUGGUUGGCAAUCAGGUGUCGAGUGUAAGUGCACAAGGGAGCUUGACUGUGAGACUGACAGGUCGAGCAGGGACGAAAGUCGGGACUAGUGAUCCGGCACCGGCAUGUGGAAGCGGUGUCGCUCAACGGAUAAAAGGUACCCCGGGGAUAACAGGCUGAUCUUCCCCAAGAGUCCAUAUCGACGGGAUGGUUUGGCACCUCGAUGUCGGCUCGUCGCAUCCUGGGGCUGUAGCAGGUCCCAAGGGUUGGGCUGUUCGCCCAUUAAAGCGGUACGCGAGCUGGGUUUAGAACGUCGUGAGACAGUUCGGUCCCUAUCCGCCGUGCGCGUAGGAUACUUGAGAAGGGCUGUCCCUAUUACGAGAGGACCGGGACGGACGAACCUCUGGUGUGCCAGUUGUCCCGCCAGGGGCACGGCUGGUUAGCUACGUUCGGAAGGGAUAACCGCUGAAAGCAUCUAAGCGGGAAGCUCGCUUCAAGAUGAGGUAUCCCACCCACACUUGUGUGGGGUAAGGCCCCCAGCUAGACCACUGGGUUGAUAGGCAGGAAAUGUAAGCCCGGUAACGGGUUCAGUUGACCUGUACUAAUAGGCCGAGGACUUGACCAA